rnacentral:lncRNA from 1 species
CUGGAAGUAACUGAAGGCCCCCUCAACCUGGCUCAUCAUCAAAGCAGACUGUUGACUAGCUGCAGGCAAAUAUGAAGAGGCUAUUUCCUGUCACAAAAAGGCCAUGCUGUAUCUUUCUGAAGCUAUGGAGCUGACGCAGGCUGAGUAGGCUCACCUUUCACUGGAAUUGCAAAGGCCUAGCCACAUGAAACCGCGCCUCCUCAUCCAGGAGACACGGAAAAGGGCCCAGCAGAACGCAGACAAGGAUGGGGCUGCCCAUCUUCAGGCCUCUCACAGCCCCUCUGCUGAAGAUGCAGAAGCACAGCCCUCCACAGAGGAACGCCUGCCUGAGACUCGGGGCAUAUGUGACAGGGAUCCAGACACACGACUGUUUUUCCUUCAGCAACAGAGCCGUGUAUUGGAAGCAAAGCCCCAAAACACGAUAAGAGUAGAGGAGCAGACAACCCAGUUGCAGAUUUGAAGAAGCAUGUGGAAUUCCUUGUGGCGGAGAAGGAAAGAUUAUGGAAAGAAAGUAAACAGGUAAAGGCUGAAAAGGCCAGACUUCUAAAAGGUCCAGUAGAAAAGGAGCUGGAUGUGGGUGCUGAUUUUGUGGAAAAGUCAGAGUUACGGAGCUCGCCUCUGCAUUCAGAAACUGCUAUACCCUCUUCAGCCUUGCAGAGGUUUGCAGCAGAUGCCAGGAAAGCCAAGUACAUUCCAAUACCCAAUCUUUUCCCUCAGAUUUUCCAUCUCCAGAGCUUCCCUUUAUGGAGCUUUCUGAGGAUAUUCUGAAAGGAUUUAUGAGUAACUAA